GCAGUGGUAGUACAGCGUUAGAGUUCUUGCCUUCCAUGCGGGAGAUCUGGGUUCUGUUCCCAGCCAAUGCA
rnacentral:tRNA from 1 species